rnacentral:rRNA from 1 species
AACAAACGCUGGCGGCGCGUUUUAAGCAUGCAAGUCGGACGGUAGGGGUGCCCUUCGGGGUGCUCUGAGAGUGGCGAACGGGUGAGUAACACGUAGGUGAUCUACCCCUGGAUGAGGGAUAGUCCAUGGAAACAUGGGGUAAUACCGCAUGAAGCCUAUCUGGGUUAACUGGGUGGGUUAAAGGCGCAAUUGUGCUGUCUGGGGAUGAGCCUGCGGUCCAUUAGCUAGUUGGCAGGGUAAAGGCCUACCAAGGCAUUGAUGGAUAGCCGGCCUGAGAGGGUGUACGGCCACACUGGGACUGAGAUACGGCCCAGACUCCUACGGGAGGCAGCAGCUAAGAAUCUUCCGCAAUGGGCGAAAGCCUGACGGAGCGACGCCGCGUGAACGAUGAAGGCCGGAAGGUUGUAAAGUUCUUUUCUUCAUGAAGAAUAAUGUGGGGAGUGGAAAGCCCUGCAGAUGACGUUAGG